UACGUAGGUGGCAAGCGUUGUCCGGAUUUACUGGGCGUAAAGAGCGCGCAGGCGGCCUAUCAAGUCGCGUGUGAAAGCCCCCGGCUCAACUGGGGAGGGUCACGCGAUACUGAUCGACUCGAAGGCAGGAGAGGGUAGUGGAAUUCCCGGUGUAGUGGUGAAAUGCGUAGAUAUCGGGAGGAACACCAGUGGCGAAGGCGACUACCUGGCCUGUUCUUGACGCUGAGGCGCGAAAGCUAGGGGAGCAAACGGG
rnacentral:rRNA from 1 species